rnacentral:rRNA from 1 species
GACCGGCGCACGGGCGAGUAACACGUAUCCAACCUACCUCAUACUCGGGGAUAGCCUUUCGAAAGAAAGAUUAAUAUCCGAUAGCAUAUAUUUCCCGCAUGGGUUUUAUAUUAAAGAAAUUCGGUAUGAGAUGGGGAUGCGUUCCAUUAGUUUGUUGGGGGGGUAACGGCCCACCAAGACUACGAUGGAUAGGGGUUCUGAGAGGAAGGUCCCCCACAUUGGAACUGAGACACGGUCCAAACUCCUACGGGAGGCAGCAGUGAGGAAUAUUGGUCAAUGGACGCGAGUCUGAACCAGCCAAGUAGCGUGAAGGAUGACUGCCCUAUGGGUUGUAAACUUCUUUUAUAUGGGAAUAAAGUGGUCCACGUGUGGACUUUUGUAUGUACCAUAUGAAUAAGGAUCGGCUAACUCCGUGCCAGCAGCCGCGGUAAUACGGAGGAUCCGAGCGUUAUCCGGAUUUAUUGGGUUUAAAGGGAGCGUAGGCGGAUUGUUAAGUCAGUUGUGAAAGUUUGCGGCUCAACCGUAAAAUUGCAGUUGAUACUGGCAGUCUUGAGUGCAGUAGAGGUGGGCGGAAUUCGUGGUGUAGCGGUGAAAUGCUUAGAUAUCACGAAGAACUCCGAUUGCGAAGGCAGCUCACU